rnacentral:lncRNA from 1 species
GUCUGUUCAGCAACCCAGGGCUAACGCGGCUUGAUGUGGCUGAAGAGAUGCUCAGGCUGCUGAGAAGAAGAGGCCUCUCCUGCCACACACCUGAGGCCCCCCACCCUGCUACUGUUCACACACUCACUCCUCUCUCUUUGUCACAUACACACACACACACACACACACACACACACACACACUCUCCUCUUUCUUUAUGUCUCUCUCUCACACACACUCACUCUUCUCUCCGUCACAUAUACACACACUCUCCCUCACACACUCACUCUUCUCUCUCUCACACAUACACACACAUGCCAACACACACUUUCCUCUCCCUUUCUGUCACUCUCUCUCAAACACACACACUCUCCUCUUUCUUUCUGUCUCUCUCUCACACACACACUCUCCCCUCUCUAUCUGUCUCUCUCUCACACACACUCUCCUGUCCCUUUCUGUCUCUCUCUCACACACUCCUCUUUGUUUCUGUCUCUCUCUCUCUCACACACACACACACUCUCCUCUCUCUUUCUGUCUCUCUCUCUUACAGACACACUCUCCUCUCUCUAUCUGGCUCUCUCUCACACACACACUCUCCUCUCUCUCUCGCUCUCUCUCUCUCACACACACUCUCUUCUUCUUUUCUGUCUCUCUCUCUCACACACACACACACACUCUCUUUUUCUUUUCUGUCUCUCUCUCUCUCACACACACUCUCUUCUUCUUUUCUGUCUCUCUCUCUCACACACACACACACACUCUCUUUUUCUUUUCUGUCUCUCUCUCUCUCACACACUCACUCUCCUCUCCCUUUCUGUCUCUCUCACACACACUUUCCUCUCUCUAUCUGGCUCUCUCUCACACACACUUUCCUCUCCCUUUCUGUCUCUCUGUGUCCCUCUGUUUCUACGCCUGCUGCUGGUCUUUGCUCAGCACCCUGGGUUCUAAAUGAUGUUGUGUAUCUGUUGCUCUCAUUCCCUGUCUGUGUCUAUAUACCUGUUCAUCACACACACACACACACACACACACACACACACACACACACACACACACACACACACACACACACACACACACACACACACACUGUGUCUAUAUACCUGUUCAUCUGCAUCUCUGUCUGUCUGUCUGUCUGUUCUGUUGUUUUUCCAUUCUUCCCCUGUUCUUUUCCCCCUCUAUGUCUCCUAAUGUUUAUCUGCACCUAUUUCUCUUCCCUGUGUUUCUCGCUGUACAUUUCUACCCACCUCUGUCUUUCUCUCUCUUUCUUCUUCUGCCUGUUUUCUGCCUCGAGAGUCUUUACUACCAGAUGUCUAGAUGAGAAGAACUGUGACACCAAAUCGUGUACU